UACGAAGGGGGCUAGCGUUGCUCGGAAUCACUGGGCGUAAAGGGUGCGUAGGCGGGUCUUUAAGUCAGGGGUGAAAUCCUGGAGCUCAACUCCAGAACUGCCUUUGAUACUGAGAAGCUUGAGUCCGGGAGAGGUGAGUGGAACUGCGAGUGUAGAGGUGAAAUUCGUAGAUAUUCGCAAGAACACCAGUGGCGAAGGCGGCUUACUGGUCCGGUUCUGACGCUGAGGCGCGAAAGCGUGGGGAGCAAACAGG
rnacentral:rRNA from 1 species